GAUGAACGCUGGCUACAGGCUUAACACAUGCAAGUCGAGGGGAAACGACGGGGAAGCUUGCUUCCCCGGGCGUCGACCGGCGCACGGGUGAGUAACGCGUAUCCAACCUGCCUCUGACUGAGGGAUAACCCGUCGAAAGUCGGCCUAAUACCUCAUGGCAUCGUCUGCGGGCAUCCAACGACGAUUAAAGAUUUCAUCGGGCAGGGAUGGGGAUGCGUCUGAUUAGCUAGUUGGCGGGGUAACGGCCCACCAAGGCGACGAUCAGUAGGGGUUCUGAGAGGAAGGUCCCCAACAUUGGAACUGAGACACGGUCCAAACUCCUACGGGAGGCAGCAGUGAGGAAUAUUGGUCAAUGGGCGAGAGCCUGAACCAGCCAAGUAGCGUGCAGGAUGACGGCCCUAUGGGUUGUAAACUGCUUUUAUGCGGGGAUAAAGUGAGGGACGUGUCCUUCAUUGCAGGUACCGCAUGAAUAAGGACCGGCUAAUUCCGUG
rnacentral:rRNA from 1 species